rnacentral:rRNA from 1 species
GAUGAACGCUGGCGGCGUGCCUAAUACAUGCAAGUCGAGCGGUAAGGCUCCUGCAGGUUAUUUAAGCGAUCUUAAGGCUUGAAUGACGUGCUGGAGUACACGAGCGGCGGACGGCUGAGUAACGCGUAGGAACGUACCCCAAAGUGAGGGAUAAGCACCAGAAAUGGUGUCUAAUACCGCAUGUGGUCUAAGGAUUAAAGCUUCGGCGCUUUGGGAGCGGCCUGCGUAUGAUUAGCUUGUUGGUGAGGUAACGGCUCACCAAGGCUAUGAUCAUUAGCUGGUCUGAGAGGAUGAUCAGCCAGACUGGGACUGAGAACGGCCCAGACUCCUACGGGAGGCAGCAGUAGGGAAUUUUCCACAAUGGACGAAAGUCUGAUGGAGCAACGCCGCGUGCAGGAUGAAUGCCUUCGGGUUGUAAACUGCUUUUAUAUGUGACGAUUAUGACGGUAGCAUAUGAAUAAGGAUCGGCUAAUUCCGUGCCAGCCGCCG